GGGAAUUGACCCUUCGCUAAGCCCCGCCCUCCUUAGUUACUGUUGCUAUGCCUGACAAGCUUUCGUGCCUGGCACGUCUAUUACAGUAUGUAUGCACCGGUUUUCUUUGGUCAAGGCCACA